ACAUCCAGCGAACUUGGCAGAGAUGCCUUGGUGCCUUCGGGAACGCUGAGACAGGUGCUGCAUGGCUGUCGUCAGCUCGUGUUGCGAAAUGUUGGGUUAAGUCCCGCAACGAGCGCAACCCUUUAUCCUUUGUUGCCAGCGAUUCGGUCGGGAACUCAAAGGAGACUGCCGGUGAUAAACCGGAGGAAGGUGGGGAUGACGUCAAGUCAUCAUGGCCCUUACGAGUAGGGCUACACACGUGCUACAAUGGCGCAUACAAAGAGAAGCGACCUCGCGAGAGCAAGCGGACCUCAUAAAGUGCGUCGUAGUCCGGAUCGGAGUCUGCAACUCGACUCCGUGAAGUCGGAAUCGCUAGUAAUCGUGGAUCAGAAUGCCACGGUGAAUACGUUCCCGGGCCUUGUACACACCGCCCGUCACACCAUGGGAGUGGGUUGCAAAAGAAGUAGGUAGCUUAACCCUCGGGAGGGCGCUUACCACUUUGUGAUUCAUGACUGGGGUGAAGUCGUAACAAGGUAAGCGUAGCGAG
rnacentral:rRNA from 1 species